rnacentral:rRNA from 1 species
UACGUAGGGCGCAAGCGUUGUCCGGAAUUAUUGGGCGUAAAGAGCUCGUAGGCGGUUCGUCGCGUCGGCUGUGAAAUCCCGAGGCUCAACCUCGGGUCUGCAGUCGAUACGGGCGGACUGGAGUUCGGCAGGGGAGACUGGAAUUCCUGGUGUAGCGGUGAAAAUGCGCAGAUAUCAGGAGGAACACCGGUGGCGAAGGCGGGUCUCUGGGCCGAUACUGACGCUGAGGAGCGAAAGCGUGGGGGAGCGAACAGG